rnacentral:lncRNA from 1 species
GGGAAGCCUCCAGCAAAUUAAAGUCCAAAAGGGACUAUGAGUAGUUGCCUGUCUUAGACCAUAGUCUGAGUCUGUAACUUGAUAUUGAAUGAGGAACUGCAGGGGAUACUUUGCCACACCUCAGAAAAUCACAGAGAAAUGAGACAUUCUCGUGAAUGACUCCUUUCCACAGAAGGACAGCAUUAACAAUUGGCUACACCU